GUGCUUGUCUCGGCAGCAAAUAUACUAAAAGGGGAAUGAUAUAUCACAGACCCUGCACAAGGAUGACACACAAAUUUGUGAUGUGUUUCAUAUUUUU
ensembl:snRNA LOC120094419 U6 spliceosomal RNA